rnacentral:rRNA from 1 species
GAUGAACGCUGGCGGCGUGCCUAAUACAUGCAAGUCGAACGAAACUUCUUUAUCACCGAGUGCUUGCACUCACCGAUAAAGAGUUGAGUGGCGAACGGGUGAGUAACACGUGGGCAACCUACCCAAAAGAGGGGGAUAACACUUGGAAACAGGUGCUAAUACCGCAUAACCAUAGUUACCGCAUGGUAACUAUGUAAAAGGUGGCUAUACUACCGCUUUUGGAUGGGCCCGCGGCGCAUUAGCUAGUUGGUAGGGUAAAGGCUUACCAAGGCAAUGAUGCGUAGCCGAAUUGAGAGGUUGAUCGGCCACAUUGGGACUGAGACACGGCCCAAACUCCUACGGGAGGCAGCAGUAGGGAAUCUUCCACAAUGGGCGAAAGCCUGAUGGAGCAACGCCGCGUGAGUGAAGAAGGUCUUCGGAUCGUAAAACCCUGUUGUUAGAGAAGAAAGUGCGUGAGAGUAACUGUUCACGUUUCGACGGUAUCUAACCAGAAAGCCACGGCUAACUACGUG